rnacentral:rRNA from 1 species
CCUACGGGAGGCAGCAGUGAGGAAUAUUGGUCAAUGGACGCAAGUCUGAACCAGCCAUGCCGCGUGCAGGAAGACGGCUCUAUGAGUUGUAACCUGCUUUUGUACGAGGGUAAACGCAGAUACGCGUAUCUGUCUGAAAGUCUCGUACGAAUAAGGAUCGGCUAACUCCGUGCCAGCAGCCGCGGUAAUACGGAGGAUUCAAGCGUUAUCCGGAUUUAUUGGGUUUAAAGGGUGCGUAGGCGGUCGGAUAAGUUAGAGGUGAAAUCCCGAGGCUCAACUUCGGAAUUGCCUCUGAUACUGUUCGGCUAGAGAGUAGUUGCGGUAGGCGGAAUGUAUGGUGUAGCGGUGAAAUGCUUAGAGAUCAUACAGAACACCGAUUGCGAAGGCAGCUUACCAAGCUACUUCUGACGUUGAGGCACGAAAGCGUGGGGAGCAAACAGGAUUAGAUACCCCAGUAGUC